rnacentral:rRNA from 1 species
UGCAAGUCGAACGGAAAGGCCCAGCUUGCUGGGUACUCGAGUGGCGAACGGGUGAGUAACACGUGGGUGAUCUGCCCUGAACUUUGGGAUAAGCCUGGGAAACUGGGUCUAAUACCGGAUAUGACCUUGGAGUGCAUGCUCUGGGGUGGAAAGCUUUUGCGGUUCAGGAUGGGCCCGCGGCCUAUCAGCUUGUUGGUGGGGUAAUGGCCUACCAAGGCGACGACGGGUAGCCGACCUGAGAGGGUGAUCGGCCACACUGGGACUGAGACACGGCCCAGACUCCUACGGGAGGCAGCAGUGGGGAAUAUUGCACAAUGGGCGCAAGCCUGAUGCAGCGACGCCGCGUGAGGGAUGACGGCCUUCGGGUUGUAAACCUCUUUCACCAGGGACGAAGCGCAAGUGACGGUACCUGGAGAAGAAGCACCGGCCAACUACGUGCCAGCAGCCGCGGUAAUACGUAGGGUGCGAGCGUUGUCCGGAAUUACUGGGCGUAAAGAGCUCGUAGGCGGUUUGUCGCGUCGUCUGUGAAAUUCUGCAACUCAAUUGUAGGCGUGCAGGCGAUACGGGCAGACUUGAGUACUACAGGGGAGACUGGAAUUCCUGGUGUAGCGGUGAAAUGCGCAGAUAUCAGGAGGAACACCGGUGGCGAAGGCGGGUCUCUGGGUAGU